AUUGAACGCUGGCGGCAUGCUUUACACAUGCAAGUCGAACGGUAACAGGUUAAGCUGACGAGUGGCGAACGGGUGAGUAAUGCAUCGGAACGUGCCCGAUCGUGGGGGAUAACGCAGCGAAAGCUGCGCUAAUACCGCAUACGAUCUGAGGAUGAAAGCGGGGGACCGUAAGGCCUCGCGCGAUCGGAGCGGCCGAUGUCCGAUUAGGUAGUUGGUGGGGUAAAGGCCAACCAAGCCGACGAUCUGUAGCUGGUCUGAGAGGACGACCAGCCACACUGGGACUGAGACACGGCCCAGACUCCUACGGAGGCAGCAGUGGGGAAUUUUGGACAAUGGGCGAAAGCCUGAUCCAGCAAUGCCGCGUGCAGGAAGAAGGCCUUCGGGUUGUAAACUGCUUUUGUACGGAGCGAAAAGGUCCUUUCUAAUACAAGGGGCUCAUGACGGUACCGUAAGAAUAAGCACCGGCUAACUACGUGCCAGCCGCCGCGGUAA
rnacentral:rRNA from 1 species